rnacentral:RNase_P_RNA from 1 species
UUAGCGCGUUGAGUAAUAGCUCCGUCCUGGGACGGGGAGGAAAGUCCGAACACCAACAUCGAGAGAUGUAAAAGCUUAGCAGGUAACGCCUGUCAUACGAUUCUGGCGGUCGUAAGAAGUGCGAACAGAGACGAGUCCGUCGCAAGACGGAGUGAAACGGCAAAAUCUUUAGGCGGGUGCAAGGCCGUGCUCCAAGCAAUUGGAGAGUGCCGCUUGAGCUUCGUGGCGACACGAGGCCCAGAUAAAUUAUUACUCACGACAGAAUUCGGCUUACAGACGCGCUCGCUAG